UUUCUAGCAACUUGUCUUCCAGGCAUUGAACCAAUUUCAGUGCUGUGGUUUAUUAUAUUAAAUCAUUAUGGGAUUCAGCUCAUUUACCCUGUGCUUUUUCACACCCUAGGUGACCACGUGGUGGCAAGUACAAGACGAAGCAAUGGGAGGUGGGCUCCAUGCCCAGCUCCACCACUGCCACGAGGCACGACCGUGCCUCCAGCCCUCUACCCGGUGAUGGUGAGCCCAGAGGUGUUGAGGUUUACACUGGCCGUGCACUGGGCAUCCCUAGCAGGGGAUAAUGCGGGGCAGUGUCCGGAGCACUCUGGGAGCCCUGGGAAGCUGCGGUGCGCAGGGAGCCGGGAGCUGUUGCAUCUUGCUGUGUAAUGAAACACUACCACACCUGUGCAGAUUUCCCCAUAGCCUGGGGCUAGGGUGGAAAUGUGUUGGAUCAUUAAGUCAAGCUCCUUAAGAGCUACUUGAAGAUGGAAGAUGUGAAAUCAGGCAUAUGAAAUGGAGAUCGUGUCUAGACGAUCCCCUGAGCAUCUGCCCGCCUCGAGCAGAGCUGCUGUUUGCAGUAACUCUGGUUCUUGGCUUGUGCCCCUGGAGGGACAGGCAGAGCUUGCUCGUGCAGAAAGCCCAGCUAUGCUUCUGCUCCACUCUUCCAGAGCAGUUGGGGCUUGCCUGGAAAGGCCAGGAUGUCACCUUGCAUUGAGGAGCCAGCCAGCGGGCUCAGGUUUGUCGUGCCUGUUAAGACAGGAGCUAAGGGGCAUCCAUCUAGGCAGAGGCAUGCGGAGCUGGAUGCAGACUCCAGGUGCUGGUCUUGAGGCAGCAUCAGUCCUGCUUUGUGGAAGCAUGCAUCCCCAGGGUUUGUGUGUUGCUCCUUCGCCUUCUCUUCCCAGGGAGUGAGCUAACUCCUGGAGCCAGGAGUGUGCUCUGGGUCUGAUAAUGCAGUAUCUUUCCCUUUGGUAGUCAAGACUGCAGGGUAGCGAGCUAAUUGCAGGGGAUAUUUCACACCACAUGUUCAUCCUGCAGCUCCUCAGCGCAGAAUGACAUCUUACCCCUGGGUGAGGGGGUGGAUCAGAUCACGGGAGCCACAGUUUUCCCUUGGAGACUUGUGCAGAGCUGAAGCAGCUCCAAGCACAGCUCCCAGGCUCAGUGCCAGCCCCAUGCCAGGCUGUGCUGGUGCAGGGGCUGGUGGAGCAUCCAGGUUUUGGCUGGCAGAGGAAUCCAGCCAGGCUGCUGGUGCUACAAAGGCUGCAGGAUCCUGCUGCAAGACCAGCUCAGCUGCUUCUUGCAGAAGAGCUGUCUGCUCUGGUGCAGAGCAGGGCCAGGCACUGUUUACUGGAGACAGCUGAUGCUGGUGCGGCAUGAGCUGGGCUAUGUGUGCUACCCAGGGUGCCCAGUGGAAGGGCUGUCACGUUGCAUCUGAAACCCAAACACGAUGAACCUGGUGUCUGCUAAGCUGCAAGGACCAGGCACAGGCUGCUCCACUGCCUGCAGAAGGCACCUGCAGCAGCCA